rnacentral:rRNA from 1 species
CCUACGGGUGGCUGCAGUGGGGAAUAUUGGACAAUGGGGGGAACCCUGAUCCAGCCAUGCCGCGUGUGUGAAGAAGUCCCUCGGGUUGUAAAGCACUUUCAGUGAGGAAGAACGCCUGGUGGUUAAUACCCAUCAGGAAAGACAUCACUCACAGAAGAAGCACCGGCUAACUCCGUGCCAGCAGCCGCGGUAAUACGGAGGGUGCGAGCGUUAAUCGGAAUUACUGGGCGUAAAGCGCGCGUAGGUGGCUUGAUAAGCCGGUUGUGAAAGCCCCGGGCUCAACCUGGGAACGGCAUCCGGAACUGUCAAGCUAGAGUGCAGGAGAGGAAGGUAGAAUUCCCGGUGUAGCGGUGAAAUGCGUAGAGAUCGGGAGGAAUACCAGUGGCGAAGGCGGCCUUCUGGACUGACACUGACACUGAGGUGCGAAAGCGUGGGUAGCAAACAGGAUUAGAUACCCCAGUAGUC